GAUGAAGAACGUAGCGAAAUGCGAUAAGUAAUGUGAAUUGCAGAAUUCCGUGAAUCAUCGAAUCUUUGAACGCACAUUGCGCCCCCUGGCAUUCCGGGGGGCAUGCCUGUCCGAGCGUCACUUCUGCCCUCCAGCCCGGCUGGGUGUUGGGCGCUGUCCCCCCGGGGACACGCCCCAAAGGCAGUGGCGGCGCCGCGUCGGGUCCUCGAGCGUAUGGGGCUUUGUCACCCGCUCGGGACGGACUCGUCGGCGCUGGUCUUCCUCCAGGCGACCCUUCGGGGCUCGUCUUCCUUCGGUUGACCUCGGAUCAGGUAGGGUUACCCGCUGAACUUAAGCAUAUCAAUAAGCGGAGGA
rnacentral:misc_RNA from 1 species